CCUAACCUUACUCUUCUGACUCAUUUCGUUCUCACUCUCUGUUUGGCUUAUACUCAUCUUAUGCUCUCGCACGACACCAUUGUCGGAGUCAGAGUAAGCAAACACGUAGUGUAAGAAAGAAGAGAUUAGCGAGAAAGAGUAGGAAGAAAUCUGCUUCAGAUAAGCAGAUCUCGUUACCGCUGGCGAAUGAUAGGCCAACGAAGGAGAGUAAAACGAUUUCACAGUUGAUAAGGUUAAGAAAACAUUACAAAACCAAUACUUGG
rnacentral:sRNA from 1 species